rnacentral:snRNA from 1 species
CUAAAGGUGGGAAUUUAAUUCAC